rnacentral:rRNA from 1 species
UACAGGGGGGGCAAGCGUUGUUCGGAAUUACUGGGCGUAAAGGGCCAGUAGGCGGCCAACUAAGUCACACGUGAAAUCCCCAGGCUUAACCUGGGAACUGCGUGUGAUACUGGAUGGCUUGAAUUCGGGAGAGGGAUGCAGAAUUCCAGGUGUAGCGGUGAAAUGCGUAGAUAUCUGGAGGAAUACCGGUGGCGAAGGCGGCAUCCUGGACCGAGAUUGACGCUGAACGGCGAAAGCUAGGGAGCGAAACGGG